AUGAAGGGGAAAGCCAAGGGCAACAUGGUUCUUGUCACAACUAGGUUUCCAGCUAAAGCUGAAAUGGUGAAAACAACCAGCCCAAUAGCACUCCAAGGUCUAGAGUCUGAUGACUUCUUCACAUUCUUUAAAUCAUUAAUAUUUGGGGUAAACAGGCAUGAGUAUUGCCAGGAGGAAUUAGAUGAUAUUGCAAGAGAUAUUGGAAAUAAACUGAAGGGUUCACCACUAGCAGCCAGAACAGUUGGUCGUUUACUGAGGAAGAACAUUUCUCGGGAACAUUGGAAUGGAGUUCUUGAAAACAAUGAGUGGCAAAAGGAGGAAAAUGUUGAUGACAUUAUGCCAUCAUUAAGGAUUAGCUAUGAUUACCUUCCUUUUCAUCUAAAAAAAUGUUUUUCAUAUUUUUCCUUGUUCCCCGAAGAUUUUCAGUUUAACAAGUUAGAUAUUACGUAUUUUUGGAUUGCACUAGGAAUCAUAGAAAAAGAUGAGAAUUAUCUAGAGGAACUAGUAGAUAAUGGUUUUGUUGUGGAGGAUGUUGAUUUUUUUGAGAAACAAUGCUAUGUAAUGCACGAUUUAUUACAUGAACUGUCUCGAAAUGUUUCGUCACAAGAGUGCCUCAACAUAUGCCGUUCAAGUUUUAGAGUUGAUGCCAUCCCACAAACUGUUCGACACUUAUCCAUCACAAUGAAAGAUAUAAUUGAAGAGAACUUUAAGGGAGAAAUGGUAAAAUUGAGGAGCAAGAUAGACGUUAGCAAUUUGCGGGCUUUGAUGAUUUUUGUUGCAGAAACAACCGAUGGAUUUUUGAAAUAUAUUUUUAAGGAAAUAGAGGGUCUUCGUGUCCUAUAUAUAGUAGCGAAAUCCCAAAACUCUUUGCCAAACUUUUCAAAACUUAUCCACCUCCGAUACCUAAAAAUUGAUAUGAGACCAGAUCAGUACAACGAAAUGACAUUUCCUAGUACAAUAUCCACAUUUUAUCAUUUGAAAUUCUUAGACCUUACAAGCCAUUCUAGAUAUAAAUUACCUAAUGACAUUAGCCGCCUUAUCAAUUUGCGCCAUCUUUUUGUUGACGAAGAACUCCAAUACAAUGUUCGUGGAAUCGGAAAGAUGAAAUGUUUGCAGGAGCUAAAAGAGUUCUGUGUUAAAAAAGAGAGUGUUGGAUUUGAACUGACAGAGUUGGGGAAACUCACAGAGCUUGGAGGAGAGCUCAGCAUACAUAAUCUUGAGAAGGUGGCAACCAGGGAUGAAGCUACAGAAGCCAAGCUUGUGUGUAAAAGAGAUUUGAAAGAGUUGACGUUAGUUGGGGUACAGAUCACCAACAUAGCACAGAAUCUGAUGUUCUGGAUGCUCUUCAGCCACACCAUAAUCUUGGUGCACUUAGCAUUAUAA
rnacentral:rRNA from 1 species